AAUUCCAGGCAGCACCCUGGGCUCUGAAUUCUCAGACUCAAAGUUGUUGCUCAAAUUCCCCCCACCCCCACAUUCCAACCCAACCCUAAUCUCCUCCCACUUUGGUUUCUCUGUCCACCAGGUUUCCAGAUCUCCCAGCAUACUACUGUGGCCCUGAGAGAGCAGCUGUGAACUCAAGAAAAACUCCUUCACCUUUCUCUGAGGCUGAUGGCAACAUCGAAGGCAUUGCACCAUUGCCUUCCAGCAUCCAGUGUUGUUGCUGAGAAGACUGCUGCCAAUUGGAUCUGAAAUUUUCUUUGGAAGUGUACCAGGAGGGAGGGUACAAGAAGACCAGGCAAUUAUGGAGUGGCUGAGGAAAGAAGGGACCAGAGGAGGAGAGAGAAGACUUGGGUGCAAUGCUGAGCUGAAUGGAGAAGAACCUGGUGAGUUCUUCCUUGAGGCCCAGGUUGUGAUACUGUAAUUCUCUAAUUACCUCAGAGCUAAAACUAUUUUAUUUGUCUAGAAAUGACAUG
rnacentral:lncRNA from 1 species